UACGUAGGGUGCGAGCGUUAAUCGGAAUUACUGGGCGUAAAGCGUGCGCAGGCGGUGAUGUAAGACCGAUGUGAAAUCCCCGGGCUUAACCUGGGAACUGCAUUGGUGACUGCAUUGCUGGAGUAUGGCAGAGGGGGGUGGAAUUCCACGUGUAGCAGUGAAAUGCGUAGAUAUCGGGAGGAACACCAGUAGCGAAGGCGGCACUCUGGGCCGUGACUGACGCUGAGGAGCGAAAGCGUGGGUAGCAAACAGG
rnacentral:rRNA from 1 species